GCGUUGGUGGUGCAACGGACUAGCAUACGCUCCCGGAAAGAGUGAGAGGCUGGGUUCGAAUCCCCGCUGACGCA